AGGGCAGCUACCCAGCGAUGGGAUGCGAAUCUCGAAAGCCUGUCUCAGUUCGGAUUGGAGGCUGAAACCCGCCUCCAUGAAGUUGGAUUCGCUAGUAAUCGCGCAUCAGCCAUGGCGCGGUGAAUACGUUCCCGGGCCUUGUACACACCGCCCGUCAAGCCAUGGAAGCUGGGGGUGCCUGAAGUUCGUGACCGGAAGGAGCGACCUAGGGCAAAACCGGUGACUGGGGCUAAGUCGUAACAAGGUAGC
rnacentral:rRNA from 1 species